rnacentral:rRNA from 1 species
GCUAGUUGGUAGGGGUAACGGGCCUACCAAGGGCGAUGAUGCAUAGCCCGAGUUGAGAGACUGAUCGGGCCACAUUGGGGACUGAGACACGGGCCCAAAACUCCUACGGGGAGGCAGCAGUAGGGAAUCUUCCACAAUGGACGCAAGUCUGAUGGAGCAACGCCGCGUGAGUGAAGAAGGGUUUCGGCUCGUAAAGCUCUGUUGUUGGUGAAGAAGGACAGGGUAGUAACUGACCUUUGUUUGACGGUAAUCAAUUAGAAGUCACGGCUAACUACGUGCCAGCAGCCGCGGUAAU